rnacentral:rRNA from 1 species
GACGAACGCUGGGCGGCGUGCUUAACACAUGCAAGUCGAACGGUCCUGUUUUUGAAGCGCUUCGGCGUGGAGGGAGCGGGUUAGUGGCGCACGGGUGAGUAAUGCGCGAGGACCUGGCCCGCGGGAGGGGGACAGCAGUUGGAAACGGCUGGUGAUACCCCGUAAGCCGGGAGGUAAAAGGGCGGAGACGCCCGCCUGCGGAUGGACUCGCGUCCUAUCAGCUAGUUGGUGAGGCAACGGCUCACCAAGGCGACGACGGGUAGCCGGCCUGAGAGGGUGUCCGGCCACACUGGAACUGAGACACGGUCCAGACUCCUACGGGAGGCAGCAGUGGGGAAUUUUGGGCAAUGGGGGAGACCCUGACCCAGCGACGCCGCGUGAGGGACGAAGGCCCUUGGGUCGUAAACCUCUUUUGCAGGGGAAGAAGAAGAUGACGGUACCUUGCGAACAAGUCCCGGCUAACUACGUG